rnacentral:misc_RNA from 1 species
UUUCCGUAGGUGAACCUGCGGAAGGAUCAUUAUUGAGUAUCCCGGCUCCGAGACCUCUCUCUACACCGAAGGAUCGUUCCCUCCGGAGUGCGCUCACACACAGGCAUCUCACCCCUCUGUGCACCACCGCGUGGGCCCGCCGUUGGCUUAUUCGGAGGGUGGCUUACGUUUUCACACAAACUUUGUAUGCAUAGUAGAAUGUAUUUUGUGUUUUUUCGAUCUCGCAAUCAAUACAACUUUCAACAACGGAACUCUUGGCUCUCGCAACGAUGAACAACG